CUCUACCGCCACCCCACCCUGAACAAGCCCCAUCCCGUCUGACCUCGGAAGCUAAGCAGGGUCAUGCCUGGUUAGUACUUGGAUGGGAGACCACCUAGGAAGACCGGGUGCUGUAGGCC
ensembl:rRNA 5S_rRNA 5S ribosomal RNA